AGCGUGGAUAGUUUGUCCUGCACCGAAGAUUCCAGUUUAGUCAGCAUUACUGCUAUUUCAUCUUUUGAUGGCGUCCGGCAGUCUUCCAACUCUGCGCCUAAUAUGGUGACGGUAUCUCUGAAGUAUUUGUCUAAUUCUCUGGGUUUUUUGCCCGAUCCCGGGUCCUGAGUGUUCGCCAGCAUGGUAAAUUUUUUUAUGUUUCCCAUUGGAGUUCUUAGGAAUGCUUUAGCCUGGCUGUUUAGAUUAUGCUUUGGGGAGCUCCGUUGCAGUGCGUCUGUUCAC